rnacentral:rRNA from 1 species
AUUGAACGCUGGCGGCAUGCUUUACACAUGCAAGUCGAACGGUAACAGGCCGCUAGGUGCUGUCGAGUGGCGAACGGGUGAGUAAUGCAUCGGAACGUGCCCAGUCUUGGGGGCUAACUACUCGAAAGAGUAGCUAAUACCGCAUACGAUCUAUGGUUGAAAGCGGGGGACCGUAAGGCCUCGCGCGAUUGGAGCGGCCGAUGUCAGAUUAGGUAGUUGGUGGGGUAUAGGCUCACCAAGCCAACGAUCUGUAGCUGGUCUGAGAGGACGACCAGCCACACUGGGACUGAGACACGGCCCAGACUCCUACGGGAGGCAGCAGUGGGGAAUUUUGGACAAUGGGCGCAAGCCUGAUCCAGCAAUGCCGCGUGCAGGAAGAAGGCCUUCGGGUUGUAAACUGCUUUUGUACGGAAAGAAACGGAUCUGGUUAAUACCCGGGGAUAAUGACGGUACCGGAAGAAUAAGCACCGGCUAACUACGUG